AUAUUGCGCAAUGGAGGGAACUCUGACGCAGCGACGCCGCGUGAGCGAUGAAGGUUUUUGGAUCGUAAAGCUCUGUCCUUGGGGAAGAAGGCGUCCAUUUUUAGCAACUUGGCGGUACCCAAUGAGGUAGCCCCGGCUAACUACGUGCCAGCAUCCGCGGUAAUAGGUGAGGGGCAAGGGUUGUCCGGAAUUAUUGGGCGUAAAGGGUGCGUAGGCGGACUUUUAAGUCAGAUGUGAAAGACCACGGCUUAACCGUGGGGUGGAAUUUGAAUCUGGAGGGCUUGAGUAUCGGAGAGGGUAGUGUAGUUCCCAGUGUAGCGGUGGAAUGCGUAGAUAUUGGGAGGAACACCAGUGGCGAAGGCGACUACCUGGACGAAAACUGACGCUGAGGCACGAAAGCUAGGGGAGCAAACA
rnacentral:rRNA from 1 species